rnacentral:lncRNA from 1 species
ACAAUGUGUGCUUUGGGUGGAGAUGAGUCUACCUCCAGCUCCAAAGGAGGCAUCUGAUUUAGCCCUGAACCUCUUUUUUGACCACAAAGUUGGAUGCAUAGGUAGAUAGAGGAAUAAAUUGGAGCCAAUAAAACUAAUCUUAGGAUAUGGUUGAAACGACCAAAAAAAGGAGGUCUUUUUUUCUUUGCCUUCUAUAAUUUCCACAGCCAUCUUUUCAUCACAAUGGGACAGCCUGUCUGAGAAUGAGGCCAAUGCAAAGAAGAAAGUGGAGCCCACGUACAGAGAGAUGAUACAUUGAUGAUAUCAUGUGUCCUAGAUUCAUGCUUCAUAUGAAGGUAAAUUUUACCUUUGAUGUUUUGUGUGU